rnacentral:rRNA from 1 species
CCUACGGGAGGCAGCAGUGGGGAAUAUUGCACAAUGGGGGAAACCCUGAUGCAGCGACGCCGCGUGAGUGAAGAAGUAUUUCGGUAUGUAAAGCUCUAUCAGCAGGGAAGAUAAUGACGGUACCUGAGUAAGAAGCCCCGGCUAACUACGUGCCAGCAGCCGCGGUAAUACGUAGGGGGCAAGCGUUAUCCGGAUUUACUGGGUGUAAAGGGAGCGUAGACGGCAUGGCAAGUCUGAAGUGAAAGCCCGGGGCUCAACCGCGGGACUGCUUUGGAAACUGUUAAGCUGGAGUGCAGGAGAGGUAAGUGGAAUUCCUAGUGUAGCGGUGAAAUGCGUAGAUAUUAGGAGGAACACCAGUGGCGAAGGCGGCUUACUGGACUGUAACUGACGUUGAGGCUCGAAAGCGUGGGGAGCAAACAGGAUUAGAUACCCCAGUAGUC